rnacentral:rRNA from 1 species
AGUAACACGUGACUAACCUACCCUGAGAGUGGGGGAUAACUGAGGGAAACCUUAGCUAAUACCGCAUAACACCUACGGGUCAAAGGAGCAAUUCGCUUUAGGAGGGGGUCGCGGCAGAUUAGCUAGUUGGCGGGGUAAUGGCCCACCAAGGCAGUGAUCUGUAUCCGGCCUGAGAGGGCGCACGGACACACUGGAACUGAAACACGGUCCAGACUCCUACGGGAGGCAGCAGUGGGGAAUUUUGCGCAAUGGGGGAAACCCUGACGCAGCAACGCCGCGUGGAGGAUGAAGUCUCUUGGGACGUAAACUCCUUUCGAUGGGGAAGAUUAUGACGGUACCCAUAGAAGAAGCCCCGGCUAACUUCGUGCCAGCAGCCGCGGUAAUACGAGGGGGGCAAGCGUUGUUCGGAUUUAUUGGGCGUAAAGAGCUCGUAGGCGGUUCGACAAGUCGGGUGUUAAACCCCCAGGCUCAACCUGGGGCCGCACCCGAAACUGUCGUGACUAGAGUUUGGUAGGG